rnacentral:miRNA from 1 species
AAAGAUCCAAACAUGAAGAGCUAA